rnacentral:ribozyme from 13 species
CUUUAAACUCUUUUCUUUUUCCCUUUUUUUCGCCUCUCUCACUUCCUCCUCCUCAAAAAUAGGGAGGUUUUCAGGGAAAGAAGAAGGAAAAGCAGAGGGAGAAGAGGGAGAGCCUGAGUGAACGAUGGAUUUUAUUUC